rnacentral:rRNA from 1 species
GAAGCUGCGGCAGCGACGCUUAUGCGUUGUUGGGUAGGGGAGCGUUCUGUAAGCCUGUGAAGGUGGCCUGUGAGGGUUGCUGGAGGUAUCAGAAGUGCGAAUGCUGACAUAAGUAACGAUAAAGCGGGUGAAAAGCCCGCUCGCCGGAAGACCAAGGGUUCCUGUCCAACGUUAAUCGGGGCAGGGUGAGUCGACCCCUAAGGCGAGGCCGAAAGGCGUAGUCGAUGGGAAACGGGUUAAUAUUCCCGUACUUGGUGUUACUGCGAAGGGGGGACGGAGAAGGCUAUGUUGGCCGGGCGACGGUUGUCCCGGUUUAAGCGUGUAGGUGUGUGUUCCAGGUAAAUCCGGUUCACUUUAACACUGAGGCGUGAUGACGAGGCACUACGGUGCUGAAGCAACAAAUGCCCUGCUUCCAGGAAAAGCCUCUAAGCAUCAGGUAACAUCAAAUCGUACCCCAAACCGACACAGGUGGUCAGGUAGAGAAUACCAAGGCGCUUGAGAGAACUCGGGUGAAGGAACUAGGCAAAAUGGUGCCGUAACUUCGGGAGAAGGCACGCUGACACGUAGGUGAAGUGAUUUACUCAUGGAGCUGAAGUCAGUCGAAGAUACCAGCUGGCUGCAACUGUUUAUUAAAAACACAGCACUGUGCAAACACGAAAGUGGACGUAUACGGUGUGACGCCUGCCCGGUGCCGGAAGGUUAAUUGAUGGGGUCAGCGCAAGCGAAGCUCCUGAUCGAAGCCCCGGUAAACGGCGGCCGUAACUAUAACGGUCCUAAGGUAGCGAAAUUCCUUGUCGGGUAAGUUCCGACCUGCACGAAUGGCGUAAUGAUGGCCAGGCUGUCUCCACCCGAGACUCAGUGAAAUUGAACUCGCUGUGAAGAUGCAGUGUACCCGCGGCAAGACGGAAAGACCCCGUGAACCUUUACUAUAGCUUGACACUGAACAUUGAGCCUUGAUGUGUAGGAUAGGUGGGAGGCUUUGAAGUGUGGACGCCAGUCUGCAUGGAGCCGACCUUGAAAUACCACCCUUUAAUGUUUGAUGUUCUAACGUGGACCCGUUACCCGGGUUGCGGACAGUGUCUGGUGGGUAGUUUGACUGGGGCGGUCUCCUCCUAAAGAGUAACGGAGGAGCACGAAGGUUGGCUAAUCCUGGUCGGACAUCAGGAGGUUAGUGCAAUGGCAUAAGCCAGCUUGACUGCGAGCGUGACGGCGCGAGCAGGUGCGAAAGCAGGUCAUAGUGAUCCGGUGGUUCUGAAUGGAAGGGCCAUCGCUCAACGGAUAAAAGGUACUCCGGGGAUAACAGGCUGAUACCGCCCAAGAGUUCAUAUCGACGGCGGUGUUUGGCACCUCGAUGUCGGCUCAUCACAUCCUGGGGCUGAAGUAGGUCCCAAGGGUAUGGCUGUUCGCCAUUUAAAGUGGUACGCGAGCUGGGUUUAGAACGUCGUGAGACAGUUCGGUCCCUAUCUGCCGUGGGCGCUGGAGAACUGAGGGGGGCUGCUCCUAGUACGAGAGGACCGGAGUGGACGCAUCACUGGUGUUCGGGUUGUCAUGCCAAUGGCACUGCCCGGUAGCUAAAUGCGGAAGAGAUAAGUGCUGAAAGCAUCUAAGCACGAAACUUGCCCCGAGAUGAGUUCUCCCUGAGACUUAGAGUCUCCUGAAGGAACGUUGAAGACGACGACGUUGAUAGGCCGGGUGUGUAAGCGCAGCGAUGCGUUGAGCUAACCGGUACUAAUGAACCGUGAGGCUUAACCUUACAACGCCGAAG